rnacentral:rRNA from 1 species
AACUAACGCUGGCGGCGUGCCUAACACAUGCAAGUCGUACGAGAAAGCCGGCUUCGGCUGGUGAGUAAAGUGGCGCACGGGUGAGUAACGCGUGGAUAAUCUGCCCUUAAGUGUGGAAUAACGUACCGAAAGGUGCGCUAAUACCGCAUAAUGCCUGGCAACACAAGUUGUCCGGCCAAAGAAGGCCUCUGUUUACAAGCUUUCGCUUCAGGAUGAGUCCGCGUACCAUUAGCUUGUUGGUGGGGUAAUGGCCUACCAAGGCUGCGAUGGUUAGCUGGUCUGAGAGGAUGAUCAGCCACACUGGAACUGAGACACGGUCCAGACUCCUACGGGAGGCAGCAGUGAGGAAUAUUGCACAAUGGGGAAACCCUGAUGCAGCGACGCCGCGUGGAGGAAGAAGGUCUUCGGAUUGUAAAGCACUUUUCGGGAGGAAGAGGAAGGACUGUACUCCCAGAAUAAGCCUCGGCUAACUACGUGCCAGCAGCCGAC